rnacentral:rRNA from 1 species
GACGAACGCUGGCGGCGUGCUUAACACAUGCAAGUCGAACGGAAAGGCCCUGCUUUUGUGGGGUGCUCGAGUGGCGAACGGGUGAGUAACACGUGAGUAACCUGCCCUUGACUUUGGGAUAACUUCAGGAAACUGGGGCUAAUACCGGAUAGGAGCUCCUGCUGCAUGGUGGGGGUUGGAAAGUUUCGGCGGUUGGGGAUGGACUCGCGGCUUAUCAGCUUGUUGGUGGGGUAGUGGCUUACCAAGGCUUUGACGGGUAGCCGGCCUGAGAGGGUGACCGGCAACAUUGGGACUGGGUAAGGGCCCGGCCUCCUACGGGAGGAAACGGUGGGAAUAAUGCACCAAUGGGCGGAGGCCUGAGGCAGCAACGCCGGGUGGGGAUGACGGCCUUCGGGUUGUAAACCGCUUUCGCCUGUGACGAAGCGUGAGUGACGGUAAUGGGUAAAGAAGCACCGGCUAACUACGUG